rnacentral:rRNA from 1 species
UACGUAGGGGGCAAGCGUUGUCCGGAAUUAUUGGGCGUAAAGAGCGUGUAGGCGGUCCGGUAAGUCGGCUGUGAAAGUCCAAGGCUCAACCUUGGGAUGCCGGUCGAUACUGCCGGACUAGAGUUCGGAAGAGGCGAGUGGAAUUCCCGGUGUAGCGGUGAAAUGCGCAGAUAUCGGGAGGAACACCUAUGGCGAAGGCAGCUCGCUGGGACGUUACUGACGCUGAGACGCGAAAGCGUGGGGAGCAAACAGG